GCCAUUGUCAGACAAAGCAACUGUGACUUUGGGUACUCUAAUGGCUGUUCCUCCCUGCUCACCAAGGGACCAGCCCCAGGUUCACCAGCACCUCAGCUGGACUGGCUUGCCCUAGUUCUAGCAGGUCAGCCCUGUUGUCUCACCCUAAGGGAGAGGUUUCACAUCUCCAACCACCGACACCAAAACCCUAGAGAACCAGGACUCAGCACCUCAGGAAGGAUUCUGCUACAAGGCUGGCCCGAGCAGGCUCUCCCAACCAUGGUGCUGUGGUUGCUUUUGGCUGGAGGCCUCCGUAAAGCAGCCGCUUCCUCUCGCCAGCACCAGGACUGUAGAGCAUCCCCAGGAGUAGGCGCGAGCGCCCACCGGCACAUCUCUGUCCUGGGGUCUGGUUUUUCAUUCAGACCUGAAGGAAAGUGAGACUGUUUUGUUUACAUCUACUGGACUCAUUGGUACAAGUUGCUCUUGUGGUCACAUAUGUACACCUCUCUAGGAUCCUAGUCUUAUCCCUUCUCAGCCAACCAUUAGCAUCUAAAGGACAAGGAUGGCCAGGGGAUUCUAGAUGGGGUUGGGUGUUGGGGGGACAGUUCCCAGGAGGAGGGAAACUGAAUCUCUUGUGGAAAGAGAUAUGGGGGAGAUGGAUGACGGGACCGGGCUUCUGACCCCCUUAAGAUAGAAUCAAGUGGUCUAACCAUGUUGGAUUCUGUCCCCACCUCUUGUGGAUUAGAAAGGGCUGAACAGGCCUGGCCUUGUCCUAAGACCCUAAGCUGUAAGGAGACGGCUUCUUUUACUAUGUGGAAUUAGCCGGUUUUGUUUCUAAGUGUAGCAGGGGUGUGGAAGAGGUGCUCCACAAGCUCCUUCCUCAAGAACCCCAUUCAGGGUGGGAUAAAGAUACUGAAGUCACUCCCAGCCUAGCUGGGCCUCCUGCAGAGCGGUGACAUCGGUUCCCAAUGACUAAGAUCCCAGGGGACUCCAUACACGGGCAGGUCUGGGGGCCUGGGCAGGAAGUUGGUGUCAUAUAGAGGUUUGAGGAGGACCAGCGUGUGCUCUCUGCCUGGGUUUGGAUAGGCUGGCUUCUGGACAGCUGUGUGUGCCCUCCACUGUGUAGAGGAGAAAGCUGAGGCACGCUGAGGUGACAGAGCUGAAGCCGGAUGCCGCUCAGAAACAGAUCCCCAAAAGGAAGCCCUGUGCCCCUCAAAAGGAGACCCUGUGCUCUGCAAGGCUGACUUCAGCUUCCAGACACUUCAUUUCUGGGUCUUCCCUGAGGGUCGUUAUGUUUCAGGAGAGGUCAAAGACAAGCACACACCUUUUGCCUGCUGAUCUAGUCUUUGUACCUGCUAGUACGUGACAAGGGAGCUGGGCCGUGGCCCUGUGGGUAAAAGACUUUCUUCUUCUGUAACUCUAAGCACCUAAGGAAUGCUGUGGUCACACAGGCCAGUUCAUUUGUUAGGAUAAAACCACAAGGAAAUGACCUUGCUCAGGGACCUCGGGCGUGGCCUCUGCUGCGAAUGGAAUGGCAACGAGUUGACUCCUGGUCCCUGUGAGUGACAGGGAAGGCCUGGGGGGGGUCUAGGUAGAGCCAAGCACGUCUCUCCCUUUUGAAAGGUCCCAAGAGAUAGAAAGCAAAGGCCCGGAACCAGCAGCAGUCAGUGCUCUCCUGUGUUUGUAGGUUAGGAGGCAGCAAGAUGCCUCCACCCUCAAGGCUAGAACUCUGCCCACCUUCAGAAUUCCUGCUUUCUAGGUCUCAGCUUCCUCGAAGCUACCAGUACCCAGGAAGACUUUCUAACACUCUAGUGCUUCCUUGCUGGUCUGUGUCACCUUCCAGAGCCCAGGUCAUAACAAAAGUGCCAAGACACAUUUCCUACUUUGUACCUCCAAGAUACAAUGCAAUAUAAGCUCUCUGUGUGCACAUCUCUGUCAACUGGACACCCCGCUCUCCUCUAUCUAUAGGGACCCUGGGCAGAUUGGAUCAGACCUUCUCUGAUGACCCCAGGUUACCUGAGUUACCCUGAAAAGCCCUGUCCCCCAAGAGUCAUAUUCCGAGGCAUUGGGAAUUAGGAAGGAAAUAUGGAUUUGAGAGAGAUAUCAUUCACCCCAUAAUUCACCUGGGGUCAAUUCUUGAAGCAAAUCACCUUAACGAGGAUGCCUCCCAGGUUCUACUGCCAAGGGAAUAUAUAUAGACUGAGAGUGAAGCCCCAGCCUCCUCUUCUCGUAAAGGAGGGACAAUCCCUCCAUCCCUCGGUAUAGGGGGGAUUUGUCAGCUUGUUACCCAGAGAUCACCUCCUGGCAUUCACCUGUAGCUGUUGGUACUCCCAGAGGACGGGUUGUAAGUCGAGGGGAAAAAAUGGAGGCAGGAUCUGGGGUGGGAUUCUGUCCACCCUUUCCAGUGUUUGAAAACAGUGACGCUGUGCAGAAACUGUUUCCAUGUUUCCAUGCUUUUGUUGAUGGAAGUGUGACAAUUUCCAAAUUCAACUAGCAAUUGGAAUCAGGGACGAGGCUUGCGGUUCGGCUCGGGGAGUGCUUGCCUAGGUGGGUGUUCAGAGUUCAGUCCCCAUCAUUCCGCAAACCCAGAUGGUGGUCUAGCUCUAAUCCCAGCCAGCACCCCAGGAGGCAGAGGCGGGAGGUUCAGAAGUUCAAGGUCAUCCUAGGCUACCCAGUGAGUUCAUGGCUGGCCUGCGUUAUGUAAGACCCUGUCUCAAAGGAAGAAGGGAAGAAAGGAGGGAGGGAGGGGUGGAGGGAGGGAAGGACGGAGGGAGGGAGGAAGAAAAAUAGUUUAAUAAUAUAAAUAAUUUGCUCCUCAACUUUCUUGACGGAGUCAUCUUCGAAUUCCCGGUAAAUCAGAGGAACAAAGGAAUUACAAAUUAUAGGAAUGGGAAAGAAAGCCACUCCACAGACUCGCCCCAGGGGCUUCUCCAGCUGGCGUGGGAGCCACCCUGCCUUCAGCCUUCCCAGACUCAGCCAGGGUCCUUGGGAGUCAGGGCUCCCUGCAGCUCCCAGCCACAAAGCCAGCUCCACGCACGCACGUGAUAACAAACGGUUUAAUUAACCACUCAGCUUUUCCCUCUCUGUGGCCGGACUCCAAAUACUUGCCCCUGGGAGGCUGAGAAUGGAUGUCUUCCGUCAGGAUGGACCACAGAGAAGCUGCAGGGUUGUGAGCAUCCAGAAAAGAGAUGACCUGAGGCUCCAGGCAGUCUCCCACCCAGAUGUGCCUUGUCUGCGUCCUUAGACACACCGCACAUUCUCCUCUAUCCUGGACAGAGACUGGGAAGCUUCGCCUGCCCAGAGCAAUGGUCUGUGGGGCCCACGUCCUGGAAAGUUUUGACUUCCUUUUUCUAUAAGUGGUGGUGAUGGGGGAGGGGGCUGAUAGACCUUCUUCUCCAAGGCGGCAGGGGCUCAGUGGGAAUCCAGCCUUACUAAUUGCCUUUUAAUAAAUGGGUUAUUUUUUUUUAAAUAGGUAAGUUGUCUGUCUGCACUUAAUUAAUAGUGACUAGUUACUGUUGCAACCCAUUUGUCUGAGACAAGUUGUUAUUUUCUGUGAGAAACCCAGCUCCCACUGCCUUAUUAUUUGGGUCAGGAAAGACACACACAGCACAUAAGCGGCUGGCAGGUGGGGUCCUAGUCCAGACCUGUCACCAUUUGGUCACCUGUGCUCAAAUUUAGUUGCUAAGAUUUUUGCUAAGGGUUUAGUUUCUUACAGUCAAACACCUGGGCUGUAGACAAAGAAUUCCGGACCCCAAGGAUGUCAUAAGUAGCUAAAAGGGCCAUUGUUCCUGGCUGACCCUUUCAAGUCUGGAGUAAGGAUUGGGGAGGGUCAUACGGGGAGUUGGGAACCUGCAGCCAGAGUGAGCUAUGAAGGUUUGUCUGUCGUCUGUGGGGUCCACGUGUUUCAGUGUCAGGGAGGACCUGGGGAGAAAGGCAAGGGACAGUAGAUACGGCGCUCACAGGAAAGCUCACUGACAGAGAACAACGGGUCCGGACCCACAGACUGCCCCCAGUGUUAGGGUUUAAAUGUUAGGACCAAUGUUGGGGUUUAAAUCUUGGCCUGCACCGGGACAAAGCGCACCAAGCCAACAUGGUUCCAAGUGGAGAGGUUUAAUGAGAGGAGAGAAAAGAAAAGGCCGGCCAUGAGCUCGUGGAGGGAAGGUGGGGAGGGGUAGAGAGAAGGGUCAAGGAAGAGGGGAAGAGCAGGGAAGAGAAGAGAACAAAGAGAGAGCAAAAGAGAGAGGAGGGGGCAAGCAGCCCCCUUUAUAGUCAGGCAGAGCUGGCUGUUGCCAGGCAACUGUGGGGCGGAGCCUACCUGGCUUUUCCCAGGUAGCUGUGGGGGUGGAGCUUAGACAGAAUCCCAACACCCAGGAGCUUUUAAGCUUAGCUCUCAGCAAAGCUUCAACUACUGUCCAGCAAUGAGGACUUGAAGCCGAUGAUCCACUUGUCAGGAUGCACACUCGUGUGUAUGUGUGAACGUCUGUACAAGUGUGUGUGCACAGGGACGGCUGCACGCAGAGUUUCUCGCUGAACCUGGAGCUCACCGAUUCGGCUCGUCUUAGGUAAGGAUCUUAAUUUCCUCCGAGAUGCACAUAUUUGGAGACCAAUAAGGAGUCCUAUUUCUGUAGGAAGCAGUUAUCAGUCUAUGCUUGACCCUUCUCCUAGAACCUACCCUGUCCCAGUCAGCACAAAAGGCCGUGACCCAGCAGCCCUCUUUCCUCGUAGCCCUCUGUAGAUGGCCAAUGUGGUAUGGACAUGUCAACUGCUUUAGGGACUGUUUUAAGUAGGGACCGAGACUUGAGUGGCUUUUGUCACAUGCCAAUGAGAAGUUCUUUCAAGGCUCCUCUGGUCAAUAGGGGUACAGUGGCAUAAACACAGGAGGCCCAGUGACACAGACCCCAAACGCCAGUGUCUCUCCCGGCCAGUGCAUUGUUUUGAAGUAGAUGGUGGGGCUGGCUCUUCAGGGCAUCCCUCCUUGCCUGUUAUUAGCCUGGGAACACCCAUUCAUUAUGUGGAGAUAAGCAAACUCAGGCGCCAGCCCAAACCAAGUUCCUCCAGCCCUUCAGAGAAAUGGGCCCUGGGCUCCUGGCUUGAGGAGCUGGGGGUGGGGCCCCGAAUUAAGCAAGGGCCUGUGGUAAACGGAGACUAUCUUUCUGACGAUUCUCCUUAGUGGGCGUAGGGGGGGCUCUAAGAAAGGACCCAGAGACCCAGGGCCAGUUUGGAUCCAAUGUUCAAGGACCUCAAAUGCUGCUGAGUCAGAGCCAAUAUAAUGGCCCGCCUUCACACCGCAGACUGCCUGCCUCCUGUCUGCUUGCAGUGCCAGUUUACCAUUUGUAAAUAAUCACCUUACUCAAAGGAGAUUCUCUGAGCAAGAAGCACAUCUCCCCCAUGGUUUUGCAUAGAAGCCAAGGCUCAUGGCGAAUAUGUUCAUCUGGUCCCUUCCUCUGCUGGAUGACCACUGUGGUACACACAAGGAAGCACAGGGUGUCCAUUGUCUAACCUGGCUACACAGUUACCGCUCUCUUCCGUACUCUUUGAUUUCUUCUCCUUCCUACACCACGCGCUUUGGUUCCUUCUAUGGCCGAUCGGCGCUGGUUGAAAGGCGGCUCACAGUUGCCGAUGGCCGAUACUCAGGCUGAGGACCAGCAUCAUGUUCAGUAGUGAUCUUCAACGUACUCUUGCAGGCAAACGUCCACAGGGAGAACUCGGUGGUGGACAGCAAGACAGACAGACAUUCGUCUGUAGGCCUGCAUCCCUGCUUGCAGGAUGUGGUGAAAGCAUCCGGGUGCGUUUGCCGCACCUACGGGCUAGGCUUUGACCUGGUACUCUUCCAUUCAGUGGCUAUACUGACAGACAUAUGUGUGGCGGUCUGGUCCAGUCAGGAAAACCUGCAGAUCCAUCUGUCCCAAAGGAGUACUCAAAUACUAAGAACCAGUUACUCAGGAGGAGGAAGGAAAGAGGGGCUUAGAGGGGCCAGAGCAGCUUCUGGGGCCAGGGUUCUUCUGUCUGACUAAGCCCUUAUCACCAUUGGGUUCCCAGAAUCGAGCCUGCAGAGGGUUCUUGUGUGUUGCCGGGGGGCUACCUCUAGUUGAGGCAGGAGAAUAAGGCCAAGAGAUCCCAAAAACCUUCCUCACAGGGUAUGAAUUAGCAUAUGAAAUGAUCUAGCAGAGAGAGGGGGGGGGGACUGGAACCCCGACUCCAAGAAUGCUGGCUAACAGGAAGGGCUUGCAGGGAAAAGCGUGUUCAAUGCAAAUGCAUGAGAAAACCUGCAGUGUGAACGCCUGCCCUUUGCACAGCAGUGAUGAACUGAUAACCUCCCCCCAACACCCCUCCCCCGCUCCAGGCCACUUCCUCCUUUGGAAAGGCUCCUUCUUUGUUAAUAAAAUGUCCCCACCUCUACCACCA